AACGAACGCUGGCGGCAUGCCUAACACAUGCAAGUCGAACGAGACCUUCGGGUCUAGUGGCGCACGGGUGCGUAACGCGUGGGAACCUGCCUUUAGGUUCGGAAUAACUCAGAGAAAUUUGAGCUAAUACCGGAUAAUGUCUUCGGACCAAAGAUUUAUCGCCUUUAGAUGGGCCCGCGUAAGAUUAGCUAGUUGGUGGGUAAAGGCCUACCAAGGCGACGAUCUUUAGCUGGUCUGAGAGGAUGAUCAGCCACACUGGGACUGAGACACGGCCCAGACUCCUACGGGAGGCAGCAGUGGGGAAUAUUGGAC
rnacentral:rRNA from 1 species